UGUAGGGGCCUAAAUAUCCCGAGGCAUCAAAUUCCAUCUGAUCUUGGAAGUUAAACUGUGUCAGCCCUGCUUAGUACUUGGAUGGGAGACCACCAACGAAUAACAGGGGCUGUAGGCU
rnacentral:rRNA from 1 species